rnacentral:misc_RNA from 1 species
AUGAAGAACGCAGCGAAAUGCGAUAAGUAGUGUGAAUUGCAGAAUUCAGUGAAUCAUCGAAUCUUUGAACGCACAUUGCGCCCCUUGGUAUUCCAUGGGGCAUGCCUGUUCGAGCGUCAUUUGUACCCUCAAGCUUUGCUUGGUGUUGGGUGUUUGUCCCGCGUUGCGCGUGGACUCGCCUUAAAGCGAUUGGCAGCCGGCAUAUUGGCCUUGGAGCGCAGCACAUUUUGCGCUUCUAGUCAUGAAUGUUGGCGUCCAUUAAGCCUAUACAUUUGCUCUUGACCUCGGAUCAGGUAGGGAUACCCGCUGAACUUAAGCAUAUCAAUAAGCGGAGGA